UACGUAGGGGGCGAGCGUUGUCCGGAAUCAUUGGGCGUAAAGAGCGUGUAGGUGGACUGGAAGGUCUGGUGUGAAAGCCCGGGGCUCAACCCCGGAGGGUCACUGGAAACCAACAGUCUUGAGUCCGGAAAGAGGAGAGUGGAAUUCCUGGUGUAGCGGUGGAAUGCGCAGAUAUCAGGAGGAACACCAAUGGCGAAGGCAGCUCUCUGGUACGUGACUGACACUGGAGACGC
rnacentral:rRNA from 1 species